GUUUUUCAGCAGGAAGUACCUACACGGAGCUGGGUCAGGAAGAUCCGAAUUUCGUCCACUUAGACGACAGAUAUAAAUGUUGUUACUGCAAACAUGUUCUUCGCAAUUCAAUGCAAACAAGAUGUGGACAUCGUCUGUGUGAGAAGUGUGUUGGCGAAAUCUUUGCCAGCGGAGAACCAGUCGACUGUCCAGCUGCCGAAGAAGACUGUGAACGCCUAAAACGAAAUGAUAUUUAUCCGGAUAAAAGUGUCCGGAGAGAAAUCCGGAACCUGUCUGUUCAUUGCAAGAAUUCCAAUGUAGGAUGUGUUUUUGUUGCACCCUGGAAAGAUAUUGAG